rnacentral:lncRNA from 1 species
UAUAAAGCGUCUUCUUUAGGCAUUAUAUUCUUAGGUUAAAUUCCUGAGAGUUAACAACAUGAGUUAAUGGGGUCUGAGAAUUUUGUAUGUGUAAAAUCUAUUGCUUUGGUAAGAGUUAGGCUCAGUAUUUUAGGCAUUUCUAAUCUAGAGUUUUCCAAAUUUUAGUUACUCCUAAGAUUAUGACCAUAGUCACAAACUCCCUGUGCUAUUAUUAAUGUUUUUUUUUUUUUUCCUUUAAAUUGACUCGUGUUCAUAUGCUGCCAUUGCCCCUUGGAAACUCAGACAUCAUAAAUACAUUGUGGAAAGCUUUCUUGAUGAAGAACCCAGACACAGCCUCAGAAUCCUCAUCAUCAAAGGGAACUGUCUUCUGGCCUCGCUUUUCAAUGUACCUGUGUGACUAGAUCUUACCAGUGAAAUUCUAGGGUCGUGUACAGUGAUGUCCUGGACCUUCACAUUCACUGACCACUCACUGACUGACUCAUCUAGAGCAACUUCCAGUCCUGCAAGCUCCACUCAUGAGACAGGAUCUCACUGUGUUGCCCAGGCUGGUCUCAAACUCCUGGAUUCAAGUAAUUCUCCUGGCUCGGCCUGCCCAAAGUACUGGGAUUAUAGGUGUGAACCACCACACUUGGUCCAACUUUUUUUUUUUUUAAGGUGUGCAUUUGUCACUGUACUGUGAUGUGACUAAGACUGAGAUAUUGGUGCUCACGCUAACUCCCGUAAUAAUUUAGGUAUCUGUAGCUACUGGUGUGCUGGUAAAUGUUUAGCAACCAACUCUCCUUAGGAGGAAUUGGGGUUGGCAGCCAUGAUUUGUAGCAUUUGCCAAUUUCUGUGGUGUAACUAUUAUCAUUGUGGCUGAUUUCAAGCUAUCAAUUUAAUGUCACUGAAUACAGAGUAGGGAAGAGAUGUGUAGCAUUGGCUCAUGAAGCCAGCUUUAGCACACCCCUGUGAGCUUGUGUCACUGUCAUUCACAGUCUGUUUUGUUAGUUUGGCUUUCAGAUGCAUAUGUCUGAACUCUCCCCUAACACUCUAACAACCGGAGAAUGCAUGCCUGAUACUUUUGUUUCACCACAACACAUCCACCACAAUGCUUUAGAUGUUUUGACUUUUUAAAUGGCAACUUGUUAUUGAAGAAUAAUGUAUAUACAGAGAAGUGUACAAAUUAUCGGUGAAUUAGAAAUUGAAUUAUGACUGGGUUUUCAGAACUACAGUGUAGCCAGCCUCCAGAUCAGGAAACAGACAUUUAGCAGCUUCCCCGAAGCUCUUUUAUACCUCUUUCCUGUCACCUUCUGCUGUCUCAAGUCCUGAUGCCAUAGAUUUGUUUCACUUGUGUUUGAAACUUUAUAAAUGG